GCCUCUGUGGCCAAGUGGUAAGGCGUCGGUCUCGUAAACCGAAGAUCCAGGGUUCGAUCCCCUGUGGAGGCA